rnacentral:rRNA from 1 species
GACGAACGCUGGCGGCGUGCCUAAUACAUGCAAGUAGAACGCUGAAGGAGGAGCUUGCUCUUCUGGAUGAGUUGCGAACGGGUGAGUAACGCGUAGGUAACCUGCCUGGUAGCGGGGGAUAACUAUUGGAAACGAUAGCUAAUACCGCAUAAUAGUAGAUGUUGCAUGAUAUUUACUUAAAAGGUGCAAUUGCACCACUACCAGAUGGACCUGCGUUGUAUUAGCUAGUUGGUGGGGUAACGGCUCACCAAGGCGACGAUACAUAGCCGACCUGAGAGGGUGAUCGGCCACACUGGGACUGAGACACGGCCCAGACUCCUACGGGAGGCAGCAGUAGGGAAUCUUCGGCAAUAGACGAAAGUCUGACCGAGCAACGCCGCGUGAGUGAAGAAGGUUUUCGGAUCGUAAAGCUCGGUUGUAAGAGAAGAACGAGUGUGAGAGUGGAAAGUUCACACUGUGACGGUAUCUUACCAGAAAGGGACGGCUAACUACGUG